rnacentral:tRNA from 1 species
GCGUCUGUAGCCUAGUUGGUAAAGGCAGCACUCUAGUAUGUGUCUUAGCGUAGCUGAGGUUGUGGGUUUGACUCUCACCAGACACA